AUAAAGUUUAAUUCUAGUUUAAAGAUUUAUUUAAUUUUUUUUUUACAUGUAAAUUUUUGUAGGAUGUUAGUUAAAUUUUAAAAAUUUAAUUAAAAUAAUUUAUUCGCAGUAUUUAAUUUUAAUAAUUUAAGAAAUUAAGAAUUAGAAAUAAAUUUUAAUAUUAACAAAUUUUGUGCCAGCAGUUGCGGUUAUACAAAAGAUAUAAAUGAAUUUUAUUAGUAAAUAAUUAUAUGAAUUAUUGAUAAAUUAAAAUAGUAUUUAUUAGGUGAAAUUUUAAGUAUUAAAUUAAUUUAUAAAAAAGUUUUUAUUAUUAUGAAAUUUAUAUUUAAACUAGGAUUAGAUACCCUAUUAUUUUAAAUGUAAAAAGUUUUACUUAAGUAGUAUUAGUUAUGUUCUUGAAAUUUAAAGAUUUUGGCGGUAUUUUAGUCUAUUUAGAGGAACCUGUUCUGUAAUUGAUAAUCCACGAUUAACUUUACUUAUUUUAUAAAUUUGUAUACCGUCGUUAUUAGAAAAUUUUAGCAGAAAAUAAAUUUUUAAUAUUUUAAAUUAAAAAAUAUAUCAGAUCAAGGUGCAGUAUAUAUCUAAGAAGAAAUGGGUUACAAUAAAUUUAUUUAUACGGAUUAAAGUAAGAAUAAACUUUAUGAAGGUGGAUUUAAUAGUAAUAAAAUUUAAUUAAAUUUUAUGAUUUUAGCUCUAAAAUAUGUACAUAUCGCCCGUCGCUCUUAUUAUAAGGUAAGAUAAGUCGUAACAUAGUAGAUGUACUGGAAAGUGUAUCUAGAAUGAA
rnacentral:ncRNA from 1 species